rnacentral:sRNA from 1 species
AUCUCCCGGAAAGCAGGCCGAAUACCAGCACCUGGUUCUGGAGUUAACUUCUGGACAAAGCCAGUAUAUUUGGAUUUAUAUAAAUUCCACUUUAACUAUGGCUAGGUAUUAAACCGGCCAGUAACUUACUCUCUCUUGAUCGCAUCGACUCUAGUGGGCGAAGCAUCGCUCGAAAGAGCCGAUAUCAAACAUGGCUCCCCCGUUGAGCAAGGAGGUCAUUACGGACAGUGAUAGUAGUGGUGACGAUUCCCCAUCCUACCCUGAACGAGAACCGCAGAAGACCAAGUCCUCCGCCCGAAAACCCACUGAGAAGGUAAAAUCAAAAAAUCACCCCGCAACGGAAUCGAAGCAAGAACUUGAUCCGGAACCAAGCUCUUCAAGUUCAGACUCAGAGGUUGAAAAUGAAAGUGACAGCUUAUCCGAAGGAAGAUCCAGCACGCCUUCGAUGGGAUCUGCUGCACCAAUACACAUUCCUGCGCAAGAAUUCAAACCACCGGAAGGAUUUAAACUAAUACCAACAACUGCUCCGCGAUCGUCGGAUAUUUCAAAAGUGUUCUCGGAUCUGCGAAGGAAACGAAUAUGGCACAUUACCGCGCCGGCGUCAGUGCCAAUGAACUCUAUACAAGAACUUGCGCUUGAUACUGUAGCUACGGGGGGCUCUAUAUUGACACACAAGGGUGUAAAUUAUCAACUCCGGGAGGACCAGGUUGAAGCAAAGAAAAACAAGUCGCUUCUACUUCCUGAUGAACGGGGCAAUGUCUACUUCCGAAGCCGCGUGGAUGUCGCACAAACCUUUCAUUUGGAGCGGAUCAUUAGCUUGGAAAACGGGACUACAUAUUCGGAGCAAUCUGUUCCAAUAAGUGAAUUAACAAAGCCGAAACAACAACAGCCCAGAAAUCUCAAAAUGCGAUACAAACCAAUUGGUUUGACAGACGAUCUGCCCGAAACAUUUGGAUCCGGCUCGGACGAAUCAGAUGGGGCCUCAUUCCGAAUGCCUCAGCCACUUUCUCAGGACCGGGAAGGCAAAAGGAGGAGGAAAUCAUCGAUGGAAAUAGGGUCUAGCAAUGAGCAGGUGGAUCGACGCAAAAAACAUAAACGGAUUCAUUCCAAUUCAGUUGAUGACAGUACGAGAAAUGGAGAAUUGAAGCCGUCUCCGAAAUCGAAAGAAACCAAAGAUACAGAAAUUACGCGGGGGAAGUCGGAUAAGCGACAUGGGGACAAACGGAGCAAGAAGCACAGGGACGAAACCAGCCAAGAACGGAGAGCACGGAGGGAAGAAAGGAAGCGGAAAACGCAGGCCCUGGC